AAUAGACCUCUUAAGUUCCUUGAAAAUUUUCUUAUUAUUGAUGAUAUGGAUGCAAAUGAGUGCAUGAAUGCAUGAAUGCAACAAUCACAUUCAAGGAUCAAGCAAAGCACACCAAACAAAGGUCAUGGGAUGGAACAUGUGUAACACCCCAAAAUUUGCCCUCCUCGUUCAUGCAUUCAUUUAGCAUUUCAUAUUGCAUUUCAUCAUGUCAAUCAGAAUUAGAUCCAAGAAACUUUUAAAAAA
rnacentral:lncRNA from 1 species